GCGGAGGUGCCAGAUCGGCUAUGGGGCCGGCUGCAGACCGGCAUAGGGGGGUUCGACUCCCUCCCUCCGCU
rnacentral:tRNA from 1 species